CGAUGUUAUGAUGAUGGGCGAAAUGUUCAACUGCUCUGAACGGGCUGAAUGAAAAUGGCCUUUCUGAACAUCC
ensembl:snoRNA